CCUACGGGGGGCUGCAGUGGGGAAUAUUGGACAAUGGGGGCAACCCUGAUCCAGCCAUGCCGCGUGUGUGAAGAAGGCCCUCGGGUUGUAAAGCACUUUCAGUGAGGAAGAACGCCUGGUGGUUAAUACCCAUCAGGAAAGACAUCACUCACAGAAGAAGCACCGGCUAACUCCGUGCCAGCAGCCGCGGUAAUACGGAGGGUGCGAGCGUUAAUCGGAAUUACUGGGCGUAAAGCGGGCGUAGGUGGCUUGAUAAGCCGGUUGUGAAAGCCCCGGGCUCAACCUGGGAACGGCAUCCGGAACUGUCAAGCUAGAGUGCAGGAGAGGAAGGUAGAAUUCCCGGUGUAGCGGUGAAAUGCGUAGAGAUCGGGAGGAAUACCAGUGGCGAAGGCGGCCUUCUGGACUGACACUGACACUGAGGUGCGAAAGCGUGGGUAGCAAACAGGAUUAGAUACCCCGGUAGUC
rnacentral:rRNA from 1 species